GCAAUUAAAGUAGAAUCAAGCCGCAUUAAUUCUAUGAUGUAAAUGCAGCAUAAGUGAAAGUGUGAAUAAGUAAAACUGCAUGGAUGUGGGGAUCAUACUGUAUAUGCAUAAUAUGUACUGUCAGGAGCAGAUACAAUGAUUGUGAUCCCAUCACGUACACACAUAGAAGUACAUACAUGUGUCCCUAAAAAUCUUUACAUGACUUUUUCUUUUCCAGUUUUGCUCUCUGCUGGAUUCCCGAUACCAGUGAUGAAAGACCUUGGAGUGAAGAAUGUCGAUGUUGCCUCAGGAGAGAAUGUUCUCCUUCUGAUGGCCUAAUAUUCCAUUGUGAAACCAAUCCCUCAGAAACAGGAACAGACCUAGAAGAAGACAGAAAGUGCUGCUGGUCCCUCCUGCCCCCGCUUAGGUUGCUUUUAUUGUUCCAGUUCACCUUCUUUUGGCUUUCAUUUUCUGCUCCGUGGAAGAACGAGACAGAGAAGGAGACCCUGGCUUGGAUUCAUCUCCUCUGGACCUCAGUGGGAUAUUUGGUGUCCUGUGCAGGGAGGGGGAAAUCUUGCCAUAAUUUCUACUUCUUUGGUGGGGCAGUAUUUGCACAGAGAUGAGUCUUGUUUCUCCAGGGCUCACUCUACUUGGUUUCCUUUGCUUGCUUCUCUUACUUUGGUAAUAAAAAAUUCUCCCCUGA
rnacentral:lncRNA from 11 species